AUGCUGUCCAGGCUCCUUGCCAAGCCCGCCAGCCAGGCCAUGAGUCCAAAUGCUCAGACAGAGACGCUGCUGUCAGGGCUGGACUCUGACUCCCAAGAGGAAGUUCAAAAUGAAACAGUUUCACUAGUGAAAGAAAAGUUGCAGAGCCAAGCGCAGAUACCAGAAGUGGGAAAGCAGCGCUCUGAGUGCUUCCACCAGAUGAAUGGAGGCAGCUUUUUACCUGGCACGAUGGAGCGGCCCCAGACUCGGGGACUGCUGGCAGAGCUGGGUCCUGGUCGAGUUGUCCACCGGCUCGUCCAAGUUAAAUAUUACUCACCGAGAUGCGAGCCCACUGGGCAGUGCUGGCCUGGAGGUGGACCGGUCUGGGGAAGGUGCUGGGCAGAGGCCAGUGCCAGGCCUGUGGCAUCUGUGGGUGCUGGGGGUGGGGCUGGGGUGGCAGCCAGGAGCCUGCCAGCCUUGGGCUCGCCCUUUGAAGGGGCUGUUUCCUUAACCCCUGCACUGUGCCCAGAGCAGGCAGGAGAGCGGGUAGUGGGUCCCUGGGCAGGGUGGGGCAUGGCGGGGCCACCCAGGGACCAAGAGGGGCUUGGACUGGGCUUGGCAAUGGCUUUCCUCCCGGUCGGUGGCUCCUGCCCUGUGCCAGGCUGGGGGCGGGACUGGGGACAAAGUGCUAGGAAGAACAGCCUGUCUCUUUCAAACCAACUUCUUUCCUGGCCCUCAGUUUUUCCCAGCAGCAAAGUAGAGGAACUGGGGUCUGGUGGCUGGACCCCUCCUCCUCUGGGGAAGAACCACCUGCUUCCCCUGGCAGCUUCUCCAUCCACCUACCAGUCAGUGACGGGCUGUGGCUCUGAGGUCCUUCCCGGCUGGCUUGGAGCAGGGUCCCCCAGACGGCCAUCCUCUGGGGCAGCAGAGCUGGGGGACUCACCAGGGCCAACCUCCCGCCAGCACCUGCCCCACUCUCCACGUGGACCCCAACGGGACCUGACCGCACCCAGCCUCAGGGCCUUUGCACCUACUGUGCCCUGCACUCACCUCUUACCCAUCACAGGGCACUGCUGGAAUGGACCUCCUGAGGAGCACUAUCUCCCUCGCUUGGUACCCCACCCACCUUCCCCGGCCCCAGUCUGUUCUUAAAAGCAUAUACCCCCGACUAAUACAGAACAUCUGGAAGUUUCAUUUUUCAUUGUCUCCCAUGAAAACAGAACCACUGGAGAACAGGAAUUCUUUCCUGCCUGUCUACAUGCGUAUCACAGUUUGGCCCUUGAUAAACCUGGUGGGGGAGACCGAUUCCAUAGUCAUGCCUAGUAUGGGGGUCUCACCCACAGUCACACAUCGCCUCUCAGGGCCAGAGCCCCCGGCCCACACUUGAAUCUCAGCCUAGGGUCCAAGAAUUCCGAACAGGGUCCCCUGUGAGAGGCCCGCAGGGUGUAAAGGAGACGCGGGGCUGUGGCUGUCCCAGAAGUCUGAGCCACCACAUAAAACCCUACAGGAGGGAGCUGUCUGGUGGCCUAAUGGUUAGGAUUCCUGGCUUCACUACCUGGAAACCCUGACCAAGGAACUGAGAUCCCUAAAGCCAUGCAGAGUAGCCAAUAAAAUAAAAUAAAAUAUUAAAACA
rnacentral:lncRNA from 1 species